rnacentral:precursor_RNA from 1 species
UGAAGUUAGUUAAGCCUAAAGACAUUCUUCUAGAGUCCUUGCGCUUCUCUAACUUUUCG